rnacentral:rRNA from 1 species
UGGGGAAUAUUGCACAAUGGGGGAACCCUGAUGCAGCGACGCCGCGUGAGCGAAGAAGUAUUUCGGUAUGUAAAGCUCUAUCAGCAGGGAAGAAGAUGACGGUACCUGACUAAGAAGCUCCGGCUAAAUACGUGCCAGCAGCCGCGGUAAUACGUAUGGAGCAAGCGUUAUCCGGAUUUACUGGGUGUAAAGGGAGCGCAGGCGGCGCGGCAAGUCUGAUGUGAAAUACCGGGGCCCAACCCCGGGACUGCAUUGGAAACUGUCGGGCUAGAGUGUCGGAGGGGCAGGCGGAAUUCCUAGUGUAGCGGUGAAAUGCGUAGAUAUUAGGAGGAACACCAGUGGCGAAGGCGGCUUACUGGACGGUAACUGACGUUGAGGCUCGAAAGCGUGGGGAGCAAACAGGAUUAGAUACCC